CCAGGAAGACAACCAGAGCUCGAACCCAGGCUGGAGAUUUCCACUGCACCAAGGCACGCCAGGAGGAAGGAAAUGAAGGCUCUCCUAUCCUUGACGGCUUCAUCAUCAAGACACAGGAUAAAGAUUCCCCUCCAUCAGCUCAUCUAUGGGCGGGUGUCUCCCUGCCCCGAGGUGGCGUGCCUGGAGAACGUGGAAUCCUAUAUUUCCCUGCCUCCUGAUUCUCCUGCCAACAAUCCAUUACAGGGGCGCCUGGGUGGCUUGGUUGUUUAAGCAUCCGACUUCA